rnacentral:tRNA from 1 species
GCCUGGCUGGCUCAGUCAGCAGAGCAUGUGACUCUUGAUCUCAGGGCUGUGAGUUCUAGCCCCAUGUUGGGUG